GGGACUGUAGCUCAGUUGGUAGAGCAAUGGACUGAAAAUCCAUGUGUCGGCGGUUCGAUUCCGCCCGGUCCCA
rfam:Bacteroidetes bacterium HLTCCA01 ITZX_scaf_103, whole genome shotgun sequence.